rnacentral:rRNA from 1 species
GACGAACGCUGGCGGCGUGCUUAACACAUGCAAGUCGAACGGAAAGGCCCUGCUCUUGUGGGGUGCUCGAGUGGCGAACGGGUGAGUAACACGUGAGUAACCUGCCCUUGUCUUUGGGAUAACUUCAGGAAACUGGGGCUAAUACCGGAUAGGAGCUCCUGCUGCAUGGUGGGGGUUGGAAAGUUUCGGCGGUUGGGGAUGGACUCGCGGCUUAUCAGCUUGUUGGUGGGGUAGUGGCUUACCAAGGCUUUGACGGGUAGCCGGCCUGAGAGGGUGACCGGCCACAUUGGGACUGAGAUACGGCCCAGACUCCUACGGGAGGCAGCAGUGGGGAAUAUUGCACAAUGGGCGGAAGCCUGAUGCAGCAACGCCGCGUGCGGGAUGACGGCCUUCGGGUUGUAAACCGCUUUCGCCUGUGACGAAGCGUGAGUGACGGUGAUGGGUAAAGAAGCACCGGCUAACUACGUG